AUUGAACGCUGGCGGCAUGCCUUACACAUGCAAGUCGAACGGCAGCACGGGAGCAAUCCUGGUGGCGAGUGGCGAACGGGUGAGUAAUAUAUCGGAACGUGCCCAGUCGUGGGGAUAACGUAGCGAAAGCUACGCUAAUACCGCAUACGAUCUAUGGAUGAAAGCGGGGGAUCGCAAGACCUCGCGCGAUUGGAGCGGCCGAUAUCAGAUUAGUAGUUGGUGAGGUAAAGGCUCGCCAAGCCGACGAUCUGUAGCUGGUCUGAGAGGACGACCAGCCACACUGGGACUGAGACACGGCCCAGACUCCUACGGAGGCAGCAGUGGGGAAUUUUUGGGACAAUGGGCGCAAGCCUGAUCCAGCAAUGCCGCGUGCAGGAUGAAGGCCUUCGG
rnacentral:rRNA from 1 species